AGCUCCAAUAGCGUAUACUAAUGUUGUUGCAGUUAAAAAGCUCGUAGUCGGAUUUCAGUGUUCAGUAAGCUGUCAUUUUGUUUCAGUCUUACUUACACUUCUUUGUUGACAAUUUUCAUCGCCUUUAUUGGUGGUGUUUAUUUCGUUGACUCUUUUACUUUGAGAAAAUUAGAGUGUUCAAAGCAGGUCUUCACGCCUGAAUAUUACUCUUGGAAUAAUAACAUAUGACUUUGGUUCUUAUUUGUUGGUGAUUAGGGACCGAAGUAAUGAUUGCCAGGGACGGUUGGGGCCAUUCGUACUGCAAAGCGAGAGGUGAAAUUCUUGGACCUUUGUAUGACGAACUACUGCGAAAGCAUUUGGCUAGGACGUUCCCG
rnacentral:rRNA from 1 species